AACGAACGCUGGCGGCAUGCCUAACACAUGCAAGUCGAACGAGACCUUCGGGUCUAGUGGCGCACGGGUGCGUAACGCGUGGGAACCUGCCCUUAGGUUCGGAAUAACUCCCCGAAAGGGGUGCUAAUACCGGAUAAUGUCUUCGGACCAAAGAUUUCUCGCCUUUGGAUGGGCCCGCGUUGGAUUAGCUAGUUGGUAGGGUAAAAGCCUACCAAGGCGACGUUCCAUAGCUGGUCUGAGAGGAUGAUCAGCCACACUGGGACUGAGACACGGCCCAGACUCCUACGGGAGGCAGCAGUGGGGAAUAUUAGACAAUGGGCGAAAGCCUGAUCCAGCAAUGCCGCGUGAGUGAUGAAGGCCUUAGGGUUGUAAAGCUCUUUUACCCGGGAUGAUAAUGACAGUACCGGGAGAAUAAGCUCCGGCUAACUCCGUG
rnacentral:rRNA from 1 species